GAUGUGGUGCAGUGGUUAGUACGACUGCCUGGGACGCAGAAGGCUCCGGGUUCAAUUCCCGGUGGGAUCA